rnacentral:lncRNA from 1 species
CCUUGAGUAGGGGGAGGGAAGUGCAGCAGAGACAAGUUCCUAAGUGCAAGUGUCUUGAGACAGGAAGAGGCUCCCUGAAGAACUGAAGGAAGUCCUUUCCUUGUGGCUGGCACAGCCAGGACAAGGACAGGAUAAGGCCAGACGUCCUCAGCCUCUCCAAGGACUUUUUGUUUGGACGAACGGAGGCAAGAUGGUGCACUUCCGGGUUCUUCUUCACCACCAACUCUUCCCGCGCGCGAAAAUGCAGCCGGCGCCUGGG